AUAUCAAUAAGCGGAGGAAAAGAAACCAACAGGGAUUGCCCCAGUAACGGCGAGUGAAGCGGCAACAGCUCAAAUUUGAAAUCUGGCCCCUAGGGUCCGAGUUGUAAUUUGUAGAGGAUGCUUUUGGUGAGGUGCCGCCCGAGUUCCCUGGAACGGGACGCCGCAGAGGGUGAGAGCCCCGUCUGGCUGGCCACCGAGCCUAUGUAAAGCUCCUUCGACGAGUCGAGUAGUUUGGGAAUGCUGCUCAAAAUGGGAGGUAUAUGUCUUCUAAAGCUAAAUAUUGGCCAGAGACCGAUAGCGCACAAGUAGAGUGAUCGAAAGAUGAAAAGCACCUUGAAAAGAGGGUUAAACAGUACGUGAAAUUGUUGAAAGGGAAGCGCUUGUGACCAGACUUGGGCGCGGCGGAUCAUCCGGGGUUCUCCCCGGUGCACUUCGCCGCGUUCAGGCCAGCAUCAGUUCGGCGCGGGGGAAAAAGGCUUCGGGAACGUGGCUCCUCCGGGAGUGUUAUAGCCCGUUGCAUAAUACCCUGCGCUGGACUGAGGACCGCGCAUCUGCAAGGAUGCUGGCGUAAUGGUCACCAGCGACCCGUCUUGAAACACGGACCAAGGAGUCGUCUUCGUAUGCGAGUGUUCGGGUGUCAAACCCCUACGCGUAAUGAAAGUGAACGCAGGUGAGAGCUUCGGCGCAUCAUCGACCGAUCCUGAUGUUCUCGGAUGGAUUUGAGUAAGAGCAUACGGGGCCGGACCCGAAAGAAGGUGAACUAUGCCUGUAUAGGGUGAAGCCAGAGGAAACUCUGGUGGAGGCUNGCAGCGGUUCUGACGUGCAAAUCGAUCGUCAAAUAUGGGCA
rnacentral:rRNA from 1 species